rnacentral:rRNA from 1 species
GGCCCAGACUCCUACGGGAGGCAGCAGUGAGGAAUAUUGGUCAAUGGGCGCGAGCCUGAACCAGCCAAGUCGCGUGAGGGAGGACGGCCCUACGGGUUGUAAACCUCUUUUGCCGGGGAGCAACGGGCGCCACGUGUGGCGCCACUGAGAGUACCCGGAGAAAAAGCAUCGGCUAACUCCGUGCCAGCAGCCGCGGUAAUACGUAGGGAGCAAGCGUUGUCCGGAAUUACUGGGCGUAAAGGGCGCGUAGGUGGGCGCUUAAGUCAGGUGUGAAAACUCCGGGCUCAACCUGGAGACUGCACUUGAAACUGGGUGUCUUGAGGGCAGGAGAGGAAAGUGGAAUUCCUAGUGUAGCGGUGAAAUGCGUAGAUAUUAGGAGGAACACCAGUGGCGAAGGCGACUUUCUGGACUGUACCUGACGCUGAGGCGCGAAAGCGUGGGGAGCAAACAGGAUUAGAUACCCCUGUAA